CUAAGCCAAAGCCUAAGCCUAAGCCUAAACCUAGGUCUAAGUCUGAGCCUAGGCGUAAGCCUAAGACUAAACCUAGGUCUACGCCUGAGCCUAUGCCUGGGCCUAAGCCUAAGCCUAAGCCUAAA
ensembl:ncRNA C15C6.6 ncRNA